GGGUGAGUGUGCGAGUUUGGUUGGUGACUCAGGAGCAGCCAGAUAUUUGCCAUCCGCCACCGUAGCUAAGUUGCCAGCACAGCCAGCUGUUAUGCAGAGGACAAUGGUCCAGUUCCCAGCACUGCCAGGGAUUUUUCCUCAGUGGGAUGGCUGGAACAGGAUGCACUCAGCCUCAUGAGGCCAAUUGAGGAGCUCCUUCAUUAAGUAGUGGUGGCUCAUGGCUCUUUCAAAAAAACUCACAUCACCUGGGAGAGCAGUGUGCUGCCACUACAUACCUCCGUACUGCACCCAGUGACACCAUUGACAGAGAAUAGCAUGGCAGUUAGUCACUACCAAAAGUGCUCCCAGGGUGUAUGGAUACAGUUAACAUUUUCACAGGCAAAGCCGUCUUCAGAAAAGAAAAGAAAACCUUGUAAUGUAACGGACUAUUGAAAUUACUAAUACCACCGGCUGGUGAGGUGUGCGGUGCCGUCAAUCAACCUGAAGGAGCAAGUGAACUUUAACUACGUAAAGAUAAAUUGAAAUAUUAUUAUUUUGUUACAAAACUGUUAAUAUGAGGGCAAUCAUGAGGUAUAUUUCCACAGAACUAUAUUGUAAACACUUUUCAUUUUUCAUACUAUGUUUUCAUAUAUGUUUAAGUGUGAUGUGUAAAAUAUCGAUAUACAACCAAGGUUGGCAGUACUGCACAGUUUGUAAGCUCUGUGAACAGGAGCCGGUUGUUGGUGGGUGUAGAGACAAUGGGCAGUUGCCAGUUAGUGUUGAAAGUCUUGUAAUACACAUGCUUUGAGAAGGUCAAGGAUAGAGGGAACGAAAUGAUGUAUUGGAAAAGCUGUUACAUUGUAAAUUAUUAAAUAUCAUUAUGAUCAGCAUUUAUAAAAUAA